AUAGCCAAAAGAACUGAGAACAGGUACUAAGAAUGAUGUUCAGUGGUAAAUUUUUGUUAUGUGUACCUUGUUACAAUUUUUUUUAAACUUUUUAAAAAAUGAAAGAAAAGGCAUGCAGAUGGCGUUACCUGGACCUUGAGCAGCAUCACGUGGAUAUCAAAGGUCUGGUGAAAGGUUGAUGGAACUUUUCGACAAUGGCCAAAAACAAAUUAAGAGGGCAGAAGUCCAGGAAUGUAUUUCACAUAGCCAGCCAAAAGAACUUUAAGUCCAAAAACAAAGGAAAACCAGUCACCACUAAUCUUAAAAAGAAUCAGCAGCAUCAUGAAAAUGAACCAGUUAAUGUUGAUGAAGCUACAAGAUUAAUGGCUCAAUUGUAAUUCAAUGGAGAUGUAUCAAAUUCCCCCAAAAAACUCAAUAAAAUAAGUAUUUUAUACAAUUUUUUUUAAAAAGUGAAAGAAAAAAAGCUUACUGCUCUGAAAGGUAUAAAAUUUACAUUCAGAGGGGCCGGGGAUUUAGCUCAGUGGUUUCGCCACCUGCUGCGCAAGCACAAGGACCCAAGUUCAAUCCCCGGUACAAAAAAAAAAUUUACAUUCAGAAAUGAAAAUUUAAAAACUACUACAUAAAUGGAGGUUAUUUAGAGAUUUUCUCAAAACUGGUUAUCCUGCAAUGUUAUUUCUGAUCUGGAAAAAAAUUAACAGAUACGUUCCUAUUAACGCCCAAAUAACACAACUAAGAAUGAGAAGUGUGUCACGC
rnacentral:lncRNA from 1 species